rnacentral:piRNA from 1 species
CCACAGACCAGUGUGUGCGCUAUGGC